rnacentral:rRNA from 1 species
GAUGAACGCUGGCGGCGUGCCUAAUACAUGCAAGUCGAGCGAACAGACGAGGAGCUUGCUCCUCUGACGUUAGCGGCGGACGGGUGAGUAACACGUGGAUAACCUACCUAUAAGACUGGGAUAACUUCGGGGAACCGGAGCUAAUACCGGAUAAUAUAUUGAACCGCAUGGUUCAAUAGUGAAAGACGGUUUUGCUGUCACUUAUAGAUGGAUCCGCGCCGCAUUAGCUAGUUGGUAAGGUAACGGCUUACCAAGGCAACGAUGCGUAGCCGGCCUGAGAGGGUGAUCGGCCACACUGGAACUGAGACACGGUCCAGACUCCUACGGGAGGCAGCAGUAGGGAAUCUUCCGCAAUGGGCGAAAGCCUGACGGAGCAACGCCGCGUGAGUGAUGAAGGUCUUCGGAUCGUAAAACUCUGUUAUUAGGGAAGAACAAAUGUGUAAGUAACUAUGCACGUCUUGACGGUACCUAAUCAGAAAGCCACGGCUAACUACGUG